rnacentral:lncRNA from 1 species
GUCAGGUUAGGCAGUCAAACCUGGGCCUUGGGAGAAGCUUGAAGGAGGCUGAACUGUAGAAGAAUGGAAGGGCAUGCCAGGCCAGAAACACUAACUGUUCUGGAGCAAAGACUGGUGGAGAGUCUAACUAUGUAGAGUAUCGUUCUGUGUUUUCGAGGUUUUGGAGGGAGAGAGAAAGAUUUCGGGCAAGUGACACACUCCACUUGAUCUUAGCCAAAAGGCCGAGAAGCAAUGCAAAUGACACACUCAGCGUUGGCACAAGUCUGCCUUGGAAGUUCAGGGUUGUGGUGCUUGACCUAAGGAUUCAAUGGAGGAAUGUGGAGACCUUCUUCAUGUUGCUACAAGAUGGGGAAUCCAAGUUGACCAGGAACUUCUGGGGAGUGUCAUUUGAACUAAAAGUAAGCCUUUAACCCCCACUCAGGAGGCAGAGGCAGGAGGAUAUCUAUGAACUCAAAACCAUCCUGGUCUCCAUAUCAAGUUCCAGGCCAGCCUGGGUUACAUAGUAAGACCCUGUCUAAAUUAAAUAAAUAUACAAAUAACAAACAAUAAAUAUAAAUGCAAGCUCUCGGCAACUGAAAGAAUAAAGAGUUUUUUCCCAAAC